rnacentral:lncRNA from 1 species
ACAAGAGUGUCAUAUAGAAACCUAUUUCUCCUUUGGACUUUGGAAUCAAACAAAAUUAAUAAGCAAGUAGCAAAGUGAAGAUCAAGGCAUCAAAUAAAGAUAGCCACAUCCAAGCUAGCAACUUCAUACUCUUCUUCUUAAUCCUCCCAUGUAUCAUAUGACAUACUCCAUGAAUGGCUAAGAAUAAGGCAUCAAACAUAAAUUCAAUGUAACAUUUGCAUCAAGAACAUGUAGCAUAUGGACUCAAGU